rnacentral:RNase_P_RNA from 1 species
GGAGGGAAGUUCAUCAGUGGGGUCACAAGCUGACUGUGCCAUGCUACUCACACUGCUGUCGCUUAGGAAAGUCUGAGAUUAGGGCCACCAAGAACAGCCCUAACAGGAAUCGCCCUGAGUCAAGGGGAGGUGAGUUCACAGAUAGCCAGGCUCCACUCAAGAGCAGACUGGGCAGGAGCUGCUUGUGUCCUCUGGGGACCGUAGAGUGGAUGCCUCCCUGGCUGGAGAAUAGACUCACAGUCAUCCAAGUGAGUUUAAACCCUCUUCCAUUUUC